UCACAAAUAAUUUAUAAUUAUCAAUUUGAUUGAUAAUUGUUUUAACUCACUAAGAGUUAGUGAGUAGAAGAAGGAAUAAUUGCAAUUAGAUUGUAAUUUAAUUAAAUCAAUUGGACUUAAUUAAUUGGGUUUGAUCUUAUUUAAUAAGAGUCCUACUUGCAGUAGGACUCCUAGAGUCCUAAUUAGAUUUGGACUUCAAAUUAAAUUAGAGUCCUACUUGGAGUAGGAUUUCUAAAGUUCUAAUUGGAUUAGGACUAAAAUUAUAUGAGUCCUAAUUAGAUUGGGAUUCCUAAAGUCCUAAUUAAUUUUGAUCUAAUAAAUUAAGAUGACUCCUAAUUGGAUUAGGAUUGAAGAGUUCAAUUGAGUCAUGAUUCAA
rnacentral:lncRNA from 1 species